UGGUUCACUUGUUUUUCCAAAGACUUUUGAAGCUUCCAGUCAACUACUCCUCUUGCUCUGGUACUUGGUUUGAAUCCCAAUUUCAUAUUCUCAUACUGCUCAAAUUUCCACCAUCGUAUCCCUUGUCUUUUCUUGCUUUGGUUAUUGCUUUCGUUCACAAACUGAUCAACCCCCUCUUCCUCUUGCUCUUUGCUCUUUCGCUUGGUUGGAAUCUGAUUAGGUGCAAGCAAAACCCACUUUGGUUUGUCAAUCUUCCUCAAACCUAUACAUCUCUUUUCACAAAGGAUCGAUGGAGGUUGCGGGGAUCUUUCUGGGGCCGAUCAUUCAGGUGCUGCUUGAAAAGUUGGUCUCUCCGGCGGUGUCAAUUCAUUCUCGUCGGGAGGGAAUCCAUGGUGAGUUGAAGAAGUUGGAGAAAAUGUUGCCAUCUAUUCGUGCUGUUCUCGCUAACGCAGAGGACAAGCUAUUGCUAUUGGAAAAUGAUGCUGCUGUCAAAUUGUGGAUGGACGAUCUCACCGACUUGGCUUACGAUUUGGAUGAUUUGCUGGAUGACUUGGCUACUCAAACUUUGAUCAAGCCAGAAUCUCAUGCCAGCAGCAGUACUAGUAAGGUACCAAAACUCAACCCAGCUGUUAAGCUUUAUCGUAAUGUGAGGUCCAAGUUAACUACUUCCAAAAAUGAUAUGAGGUCCAAGAUAAAGGACAUCACUAAAAGAUUAGAAGAUAUUGAAAUACGAAAGAGUUUUCUGAAAUUGAAAGAGAAUGCUGAAGUGAUUGGGUUCAAGACAAUCAGAGAAGGUCGGGAAACGACUUCUUUGGUCUGCAGCUCUGAAGUUUGUGGCAGAGUACAAGAUCAAGAGGCUAUCAUUGCGGAGUUGUUGAAGGAUAAAGCUAGUGCUGACAAUUUCUGUGUCAUUCCCAUUGUGGGCAUGGGAGGCAUUGGUAAGACAACUCUCGCUCAGCUCGCCUAUAAUCAUGAACGUGUAGAGGGUCGUUUUGAUGUCAAGGCAUGGGUUUGUGUUUCUGAUGAUGUUCGUGCAUAUGUUCAUAGAGUGACAAAGGCUUUUUUUGAGCAAGUCUCUUUAAAAACUCACGACUCCAUGUCUUUGGAAACGCUUCAACAGAAUUUAAAGGAGAGCUUGUCAGGGAAGAAGUUUCUUCUUGUUUUGGAUGAUGUUUGGAACGACAAGUAUGAAGAUUGGGAGGUACUAAAACGUCCUUUUAAAGUUGGGGCACCUGGGAGCAAAAUUAUUGUCACAACUCGUAAUGGAGCAGUUGCAAAAACCAUGGCUCUGUCUCGGUCGGCUUGCCAUCUAAAAGGCCUGUCGGAAGAUGAAUGCCUAUCUUUACUUGCCCAUCAUGCACUCGGGAAAGAAAACUUUGAUGCAUAUCCAAGUCUAAAAGGAAUUGGUAUGGAAAUAGUGAAUAAAUGUAAAGGCUUGCCUUUGGCUGUAAAAACACUUGCAUGCCUCUUGCGGUCUAGACCCCCAAGUAAGUGGGUAGACAUAUUGAAUAGCAAGAUAUGGCAUUUACACGAACAAAGAGGUAUUCUUCCAGUCCUUCAAUUGAGCUAUCAUCAUCUCCCAUCUCAUUUGAAGCAAUGCUUUGCCUACUGUGCAACAUUUCCAAAAGACUAUGAAUUUGACAAAGCUGAGCUAGUUCUACUGUGGAUGGGGGUAGGUCUUUUGCAGCUAUCAAAAGAAAAGGAUCGAAUGGAGGAUUUUGGCAAUAAGUGUUUUGAUGAUCUAUUAUCAAGGUCAUUUUUUCAACAAUCUGGUGGUAGUAAAUCAUGCUUUGUGAUACCUGACCUUCUACAUGAUCUAGCUGUACAUAUAAGUGAGGAUAUAUGUUUUAUGCUAGAUAAGUUGGAGGGUAAUAAGCACUUUGAAAUUCCUAAACGAGCUCGACACUUGUCAUUUGUUCGUCAAGAAUUUGAAGUCUUUCAAAAGUUUAGGCCUAUUUCCAAAGUUCAGCAUUUGCGGACUCUAUUAGCAUUACCAAAUCAGGCAAAUGCUUUGCCGAGAUAUUUCUUAGCAAACAAGGUUUUGUUUGAUUUAUUGCCAAAUUUGCAGUGCAUAAGGGUGCUAUCGUUGCUUGGUUAUUCGAUAACUGAGUUAUCAGACUCAAUUGGCCAUUUGAAGCAUCUCAGGUAUCUUAAUUUAUCUAAGACUUCAAUCAGAUCGUUACCUGAAUCAGUGAGUACUCUCUACAAUUUACAAACAUUGUUAUUGCACAGUUGCAAAAAUCUUUGUAUGCUUCCUCUAAACAUUGAGAAUUUAAUUCAUCUGCGCCAUCUUGACAUUGUUGAUACUGUGCAACUACGAGAGAUGUCCUCAGGGAUUGGUGGACUGACGAAUUUGCAAACACUGUCAAAGUUUGUUGUGGGCAAAAACUGUGGGGCACGACUGAAAGAGUUGGAGAAUCUGAGGCUUUUACGAGAGAGUAUUUCUAUUACAGAGUUGCAAAAUGUAAUGGAUCUUCAAGAUGAAAAUGAGGCAAUUCUAAUGGAUAAGCAGUACCUCCAUGAAUUAGAGUUGGCAUGGUGUACAGAAUUCAAUGAUUUUCGAAAUGGAAAUCUUGAAUUGGAAGUACUUGGCAAGCUACAACCUCACGGAAAUUUGAGAAAGCUCAAAAUUAUGUUCUAUGGGGGCACAAAAUUUCCAAGUUGGAUAGGUGAUCCAUCAUUCUAUGAAAUGGUUAAACUGACUCUUGUAGGCUGUAAAAAAUGCAAAUGUUUACCACCAUUGGGGCAACUAUGCAUGCUCAAAGAGCUACGCAUUCAAGGCAUGCAUGAAGUGAAAAAGUCGGGGGAUGAUUUCUAUGGGGAUUGUUUUUCUUCGGCAGUUCCUUUUGCAUCACUGGAGAGUUUGAUAUUUGAAGACAUGCCAGCAUGGGAAGAAUGGUCUUCUUCUAUUUCUAGUGGUGCUGAAGAAGCUGUAAGACAAUUCCCUCGCCUCCGUGAGCUCAGUAUACGUUGUUGUCCCAAGUUGAUUAUGGUUUCACUUUCAAGACUUCCUUCUCUUCAAAAAUUAUACUUGAAAGAGUGUCAGGAGGUGGUGCUAAAAAGUAUAAUUGAUGUGACCUCACUAACCAGCUUGGAAGUUGAGAAUAUUACAGGCCUAUCACAGCUUGAGGAAGCAUUGGUGCAGUCCUUCGUAACACUUGAAAGUCUUCUCAUUAAGGAAUGUAACGAACUGGUGGCUUUGUGGCAAAAUGGGGUGCCUUGCAUUAACCUUCAGAAAUUGCAUAUAAGAGAUUGUGUGAAUCUUGAGAAGUUGCCAAAUGAGCUGAAAAAGCUCACGUCUCUCACGUCUUUGGUAAUGAAGGGGUGUUCAAAACUUGUGUGCUUUCCAAAGGCAGGUGUCCCGCCCACGCUUAGAACACUUGAGAUAGAGAAUUGCAAUGAGUUGAAGUCCCUGCCUGAAGGCAUCUCUGGUCUUGAAGUAUUGAAGAUUGAAAGAUGUUCAUCAUUGAGAUCCUGGCCCGCCCAAAAUAUGUUAUCCACCACUCUUAAGUUUCUUUUUAUUUCUGAUUGCAUGAAUUUAGAGUUGAUGAUGCUACAGCAGCAUCAGGAGGAGGAAGACUUUAAGAACAUUGAUAUUAUGUCAUCAGUUGCAGAUUUAACCAUCCGGAAUUGGCCAAACAUUGGAAUGUUUCUCGGCUGUGAAAAUAAUUUCACUAGUCUCUGUGAUCUGGAGAUACGUGAUUGCGAUGUUCUAGAGUCCUUAUCCAUCCCAGAAAGAGGCUUACCCAACCUCAGAUUUCUUACAGUCUGUAAUUGCGAGAAUCUGAGAUCCUUGCUUACGACCGACCAGGAUCUUCAAAACCUCAAUUUCCUUCGGAUAUAUAAAUGUCCUGGUCUCAAGUCCAUUUCAGAAAGAGGCUUGUCCACCCCCAACCUUAGAUGGCUUAGGAUCACCAGCUGCAAAAAUCUGAGUUCGUUUCCAUUGGAUCAGGUUCAAAGCCUAGCAUCACUUGAAUCAAUGCAUAUAUAUAGUUGUCCAUGUCUUGAGUCCUUUCCUCAAGAAAAUUUUCAGUUCCCUCCCAACCUUAUUGAACUUCGUAUUGGCGGUUGGUGGAAACUCAAGCCCUUGUCAGAGUGGGGUCUGCACCGACUCACCUCUCUUCAACAACUUGAAAUUGAUGGUGGAUAUCCAGAGAUGGUCUCCUUUCCUCAUGAGGAGAACUAUCUACUUCCAGCAACUCUAACCAAAUUACGAAUUCAAGAUCUGCCGAAUCUAAUAUCCAUAUCAUCCAAGGGCCUUCAAAAUCUCACCUCUCUUCAACAUCUAAGCAUCUUCGACUGCCCAAAGCUUCGAUCCUUACCAAAGGAAGGGCUGCCUUCAACGCUUGAAUGUUUACAAAUGACUGAUUGUCCACUUGAAAAACGGUGCUCGAAGGAAGACAGAGGUGACUACUGGCCCAAGAUUGCCCACAUCCCCUACGUCGGAGUACAUGGCAAUUUGCUUAACUACUAUAGUUGAGACUGAACCCAUGUUCUACAUUCUAUUUUCUUUUGUCAGGCAUGUCUAAAAGAAACUUGAAGCAAGUCAACCAGCAGCUUCCUCAAGCUCCAUUGCUGGCCCUUCCCCUAAUGAUUUGUACGCUAAAGUGAUGGGAGAGGAGAGAAGGGGUUGUGUUCGAAUGUGUGGUUUGGGAUUUACACCAAACGAUACUUGGGGACCUCCUCUCACUUAAGUGGAGCUGAUGAGGAGGACCAUCCAAUCCGAGGAAGAAGUGCGUGUUGUACUUGCAUGGUUGGAAGGUGUUGAACAGACCAUGUCAUAUUUAGGCCGAGUGCAUAAAAUUCAAAACUUACAGCAACAAAUGGCCAUACUUCUGCACCAAAAUGCAAAAUUCUGGUAGACAGUAAGCGAAAAUGCCGAAGGAUUGAAGUUGCCCUGAGGAAGAAACUGCAUGUCGUUAUACGGAGGUACCUCAUACUUCUAGUUCUCCAACAAAUUCUCUGCAAUUCCUGUUCUAGCCAUGGAACUUCGUCUAUGGUUCCUCGUACUUCCGAUGCUCCAACGAACUCCCAACAUUUUGGUUCUAGCCGUCGAACCUCAUCUGUGGGAGUCCUUGUCCUUCCAUCUUCGACUGCCUGAAAUCCAUAUCAUCAUCAUCCAAGGGCGGUGGCCGUGGCCUCCAAAAUUCUCACCUCUUCAACAUCUAGAGAUAAAUGCCCCGAGCUUCGAUCCUUACCAAAGGAAUGCCUACCUUCCACUCUUCGAAGUCUUCAACUCAGGAAAUGUCCACUUCUUGAACAACAUAUUUGCCCUCAUCCCCUUUGUCGCAAUAUAUGAAAAUGGUCCAUAAAUUUUACAUUUAUGCAGUGCAUGUGUUGCCUAAUGAACUCUUGGUUGGAGCAGAACAAGUAAAAUUAUUUUACACUUUCCAGACUGAGGAGGAACAUGUCAACCAAUAAUGGAUGCACACAACCAUCGACGAUGAAAUUCAUGCCAGCGCUAAUCAUGGUGAGAUUAGGUGACUAUUUACAUGUAUCAGAUGAAGUAUAGAUGAUUGCAGUAAGAUUGUUGCAACUUUUUUGAUCCUGGAUUACAGUUAAAAAAGAGAUUGUGUAGCAGGGUUUGAAAUUUAAAAUCUGAAGCGAGUGGGAUUCUACUUCAUAAAUAUAUAUAUAUAUAUAUAUAUAUAUAUAUAUAUAUAUCUUCCCUUCCAUAUGUAUUUGAAGUACACAUUUAUUUCAUCCAGACAUCCAAAUGUGUAUUAUCCAAUUUCUAUCUCUGUUCUUGAAUUCUGCAAUCUUUUGCGUUGGGCAUUCUUUAAUUUGAUCCCUAGAAGAAUUGUUAUCGUGAUGCGUA